GACGAACGCUGGCGGCGUGCCUAACACAUGCAAGUCGAGCGAGUGGAUCUCCUUCGGGAGUGAAGCUAGCGGCGGACGGGUGAGUAACACGUGGGCAACCUGCCUCAUAGAGGGGAAUAGCCUUUCGAAAGGAAGAUUAAUACCGCAUAAGAUUGUAGCUUCGCAUGAAGUAGCAAUUAAAGGAGCAAUCCGCUAUGAGAUGGGCCCGCGGCGCAUUAGCUAGUUGGUGAGGUAACGGCUCACCAAGGCGACGAUGCGUAGCCGACCUGAGAGGGUGAUCGGCCACAUUGGGACUGAGACACGGCCCAGACUCCUACGGGAGGCAGCAGUGGGGAAUAUUGCACAAUGGGGGAAACCCUGAUGCAGCAACGCCGCGUGAGUGAUGACGGCCUUCGGGUUGUAAAGCUCUGUCUUCAGGGACGAUAAUGACGGUACCUGA
rnacentral:rRNA from 1 species